GGAUUUUCCAGGCAAGAGUACUGGAGUGGGUUGCCAUUGCUUUCUCCGAUGUAUACACUACCAUGUAUAAAAUAGAUAGCUAGUAAGAAGCUGCUGUGUAGCACAGGGAACUUAACUUGAUGCUCUGUGAUGACCUAGAAAGGUGGGAUGGGAGGGUUGGAGGCAGGUUUUAGAGGGAGGGAAUAUAUAUAUACAUAUAGCUGAUUCACUUCAUUGUACAGCAGAAACUAACACAAUCUUGUAAAGCAAUUAUACUCCAAUAAUAAAAUAAAAAGAAUUGGAUGCCUUUUCAAAUGGAUAUGUGGAGGGGAGGCAAUGACUUGCCUAGGUGCAAGAGAGGAGAGCAAAGGAGGAGUUGCACACUCAGCCUCUGCUUCAUCAUCCUGAUCAAUUCCACUCUGGUCCCAAAGAUGCACAGCUCACUGAGUAAAAUAAACAUAUUGUGUGUAACUUGACCCAUCCUCCUAAAAAGUUGUUUUAAAACCAGUUAUCUGUUUUUAUACAAUCAUGUUCCUGGUGGCUCUUCCCAACCCACAUGGCUUAUCAGAGUAUCUGUUAUAAACUUGUCCCUUUCUAUAUCUGAGAGAAGUUUUGGUAACCUCAGACUUCCCUUUCUCUUCAUAUUUCCAGGGUCGAUUUUAUAAUGAAGUUUCACUGCUAUUUUUAGGUUGGCAUUCCAGGCAGGGGCCUACCAGCUUCCUCCUAAGACAUCAUUGCUCAACUACCUCCAUUCUAGGAGAAAAACCAAGAAAUCUUUCCCUUUGCCCCAAGCAGUGUGGUUUUCCUGCUACUCUGGUGUAUCGACACCAACUUAUGUUUGUCAAUGUAGGGUUCCCAGCCCACAGUCUAUAAGGCAGCCUAGUACAAAAGUUUUGCACAAGAGGAUUGACAGUGAUUAAGUAAACAAAUCAGAUGGUCUCUCUUAUUGAGUUCUCAGGGCUUCCCUCGUGGCUCAGUUGGUAAAGAAUCUGCCUGCAAUGCAGGAGAUACAAGUUUAAUACCUGAGUCAGGAAGAUCCCCUGGAGAAGGAAAUGGCAACCCACUUCAGUAUUCUUGCCUGGCAAAGGAGAACAAGGCUCUCUUCCAGCAAUUGCCACGGAAAUUUCAUUGCAUUGGUUCUAUUUCUGAGCCUAUCCCUGUGGCUUUUGCUGGAAUCCAAGUGUUUCACCAGAUAACUUGGACUGAGAGAAAGAGAGGGAAGGAUGGAAGCAAAGAUGGAUCCUCAGAGGGAAAUGCAAGAACGGUUACCAGAAAGGUAACGGAUGAGUGCUGUGUGGCCAAAAUAACAGCUCACACAGUUCAUAUACUUGGAACGUUUAGAACUCACUUCGUAUUGUUUCCUAGGGCUUUUGUAACAAAAUACCAGACUGAGUGGCUCAAACAGAAAUUUAUUGACUCAUAGCCCUGGAGGCUGGAAGUUCAAGAUCAAGGUGCUGUCAGUGUUGGUUCCUUCUGAGAACCAUGAUGGAAAAUCUGUUCCAAGCCUCUCUCCUAGCUUCUGGUGGCUUGCUGGCAGUCUUUGGAGUUGUUUGACUUACAGAGGCAUUGCUCUGAUUUCUUUUCUCAUCUUCACAUGGCAUUUUCUCUGUGUUCAAAUUCUCUCUUAUAAGGACAUCAGUAAUUCUGACUAGGGGUCCACUCUACCUGAGUACAGUCUCAUUCUAACUAACUAUAUCUACACUGCUCUACUUCCAAAUAAU
rnacentral:lncRNA from 1 species